rnacentral:tRNA from 1 species
GGGAUUGUAGCUCAGUGGUAGAGUGUGUGCCUAACGUCUAGGAGUCUCUGGGUUAGAGUCCCAGCAUCCCCC